rnacentral:rRNA from 1 species
UAAUACAGAGGGUGCAAGCGUUAAUCGGAUUUACUGGGCGUAAAGCGUGUGUAGGUGGCUUCCUAAGUCGGUUGUGAAAUCCCUGGGCUCAACCUGGGAAUUGCAGUCGAUACUGGGAAGCUCGAGUUCGGUAGAGGGUGACGGAAUUCCCGGUGUAGCGGUGAAAUGCGUAGAUAUCGGGAGGAACAUCGAUGGCGAAGGCAAUCACCUGGGCCUGAACUGACACUGUGACACGAAAGCGUGGGUAGCAAACAGGAUUAGAUACCCUGGUAGUCCACGCCGUAAACGAUGGGAACCUGACGUCGGUUUGCUCUGCGAAUCGGUGUCGUAGCUAACGCGCUAAGUUCCCCGCCUGGGGA